CAAAACUCAUGUUGAAAUGUAAUCCCCAAGGUAGCAGUAUGGAGAGGUAGAGCCUUGAAGAGGUGAUUGGUCUGCCCUCAUGAAUGGAUUAAUCCAUUGAUGGAUCAAUGGGUUAAUGGAUUAUCAUAGGAGGGGAACGGGUGGCUUUAUAUUAGGAGGAAGAGAUACCUGGGCUAACAUGCUCCACUUCCUCAUCAUGUGAUGUCCUGUGCUACCAUGAGACUCUACAGAGUUCCCAGCAGCAAGAAGGCCCUGAGCAGAUAUGGCCCUCUGACCUUGGACUUCUCAGCCUCCGUGACUAAGCCACUGAGACAGUGGUGGGGCAGCCACCUUCUCGUUCUUCUUCUUCUUCCUGCUUUCCCUCAGAGAUGGACUCUUAAUAAGAUAUCUCAGAAGCUGGACUGGCCUAACUGGAGAUAAAACUUGAAUUAAAAGAAGAGGCAAGAACUGGUGCUUCAUUCAUCUCUCCCAUCAACUCUCUCUUUGUGGUCCUGAUUUGUCAGUGAGAAUGUACUGGAGUUUGCAAAGGAGAAAAAAAAACCACAGAGCUUUUCUCCCAAUUGUCUGCUUUCAGAAUGAAGAAGGAGAAGUCAACAUUUGGGAAGUGUUUACCAUGGACCAGGAGGGUCUCAGUGAUUUUGCAGAAAUCGUAAUUGAAGAAAAUGAUGGAAAGGAAGCUUUGAAUAUGGAGUGUUGUUAUUGCACUGACUGGACAACCAGAUGGAGCUAUUCCCAGUCCCCAGCACACAGAUAGAGAAUCUAUUCGACAAUAACUAAAGAGGUGUACAGUUCUAGAACAUUCUGCAACCAGACUUCAGGCACCAGGAGGCCUCCGUAGGCAGGGUUCCUCGGGCUUCUCAGCUGGCUUCCUUGGAGAAAUUUCAUAUGCUGAUUCCUUUCAAUUAUCUGUCAAUUUUCAAAAUGCAAAUAGAAACAUGCAGUCAUCACUUUGGUACUCACCAGCUGAUUUCUUCCAAGCACCCAGACCAUAAGUGAAUGCAGUUCAAUAUGUUCUCUUCCUUUUUUUAAGUGGAGUUAAUAUUACUGAGCAGAUUUUGGUUAGCUUCCAGGAACCCAGUGUGUGGAGAGGCAGAAUUUUAUUUUAGAAGCACAAGUUGGUUUGAAAAAUGUGAACUUACCCCAACUCUUUCUUUGUUUCAUCUUUCUUACUAGACAUGUUUUAUUUUCCUAAAGAAAACAUAAAUAAAAACAAAAAAAAAUUCUUCAUUGAUACACACACACACACACACACACACACACAUACACAAUUUAGGUCAAAUUAUUUUUACUACUUAGGAUGUCUUUAGUUAUUUUACAUAUUUAUAACACAGAAAAAAAGUAAGAAGAAAAGGAAAAAUGGUGUAUAAUCUUAAGACCAGGAGAUAACCAAUAAUAAAUAUUUUGCUAUAAUUUCUUUUCAUAUUCUAUGCAUAUACAUUUUAUGGAAUUGAGUUCACACUGUUCACAUAAUUUUGCUUUCUCUAUUUUGCCUUUACCUUUAUCAAUAAGCAUUUUCUUUAUAUCCUUAAAAUUUCUUUAUUAACGUAACCUAAUACAUAUGCACAAAAUGUUACCUAAUCAUUCGCCUGUUUAAGGGCAUUUGGUAAUUUCCAAUAUUUUUUCCUUCACGAUUUCGGGUAAUGUUUAAAUAAACCAAUUUAUGGAAAAGAAAAAAAAAAAAA
rnacentral:lncRNA from 1 species